GACGAACGCUGGCGGCGUGCUUAACACAUGCAAGUCGAGCGGUAAGGCCCUUUCGGGGGUACACGAGCGGCGAACGGGUGAGUAACACGUGGGUGACCUGCCCUCAGCUCUGGGUUAAGCCCGGGAAACUGGGUCUAAUACCGGAUAUGACUCGAUGACGCAUGUUGUGGGGUGGAAAGCCUUGUGCGGCUGAGGAUGGGCCCGCGGCCUAUCAGCUUGUUGGUGGGGUGAUGGCCUACCAAGGCGACGACGGGUAGCCGGCCUGAGAGGGCGACCGGCCACACUGGGACUGAGAUACGGCCCAGACUCCUACGGGAGGCAGCAGUGGGGAAUCUUGCGCAAUGGGCGAAAGCCUGACGCAGCGACGCCGCGUGAGGGAUGACGGCCU
rnacentral:rRNA from 1 species